rnacentral:rRNA from 1 species
UCAGGAUGAACGCUAGCACAGGCUAACACAUGCAAGUCGAGGGGCGAGCAUGAGAUCAGCUUGCUGAUCUUGAUGGCGACCGGCGCACGGGUGAGUAACGCGUAUCCAACCUUCCCCCUACUCAGGCAUAGCCCGGUGAAAACCGGAUUAACUCCUGAUAGUUUCACUAGAUGGCAUCUGACGGUGAAUAAAGCUCAGCGGUAAGGGAUGGGGAUGCGUCUGAUUAGCUUGUUGGCGGGGUAACGGCCCACCAAGGCGACGAUCAGUAGGGGUUCUGAGAGGAAGGUCCCCCACAUUGGAACUGAGACACGGUCCAAACUCCUACGGGAGGCAGCAGUGAGGAAUAUUGGUCAAUGGGCGGAAGCCUGAACCAGCCAAGUAGCGUGCAGGAAGACGGCCCUAUGGGUUGUAAACUGCUUUUGUGCGGGAAUAAAGUCAGGGACGUGUCCCUGUUUGCAUGUACCGCAAGAAUAAGGACCGGCUAAUUCCGUGCCAGCCGCCGC